rnacentral:rRNA from 1 species
UACGUAGGCAGCAAGCGUUGUUCGGAGUUACUGGGCGUAAAGGGUGUGUAGGCGGUCUUUUAAGUUUGGUGUGAAAUCUCCCGGCUCAACCGGGAGGGUGCGCCGAAUACUGAGGGACUCGAGUGCGGGAGAGGAAAGUGGAAUUCCCAGUGUAGAGGUGAAAUUCGUAGAUAUUGGGAAGAACACCGGUGGCGAAGGCGGCCAACUGGACCACAACUGACGCUGAGGCGCGAAAGCGUGGGGAGCAAACAGG